CACCUCUUGAGCUGCAAGGAGACAAUGCACAUCUCUUCACUUUACACUUUAUAGUUAUAAAAUCCUACAAAGUUGAUCUUUCCCUUAUCUCAGGAGCCCUGUGUUCUGUGCUGCCUAUGUUUGUGGCUAAAUUUGCUUCUUGAAUGAGGCAUUUGGUUUUUUUUGAGGUACCCGGGGGCCGGGGAUUAAACCCGGGACCUCGUAGUGGGAAACCAGCACUCAAGCACUAGCCACAUCGGCUUCCCUGAGUUGGUUUUGUCAUUUAUUUUGCUUGUUGUAUGUUUCUGUUCUUUCAGGAGGCACCUGGAACCAAACCAGGACCUCCCAUGUGGGAGGCUCAAUCACUUGAGCCACAUCUGCUACCAUCGAAUGCGGUUUUUAAUGUCUGGUACCCAGGAGUGUAUAUCUGGGAAAGAGUCAAUGAGAGACAAUGCUCACCCAGAAAAAGGGCACUGGACAGCACAGAGGUUUCCUGUUUUUCAGCAACCCAGAUUCAGAGUUUCCAUGAUUGUCCUACAGAGAUGGGCGUAAACAUCUCUGGGCACCAGACCACAGUGGAGUCUGGCUGGAUUUCCAGUUUCUGGCCUCAAGACCUUCCUGCUCAUUGUUGCUUCAUUAAACACAUGGGGCCUACUCUCCUAUCCAAGUAAUUCUGCCUUCUGGAGCAACAGACUACAUGGAAAUUCAGAAACAAUACCUCAAGUAACCCACUGGGAGAGGUGGCAAAGCUGGUGGUUCUGUGCUCCCCUUACCUCUCACUCUCUCUCCACCCACCACCCACCUACCUGUAUAUCCUAAGUUUAUUCCAUGCACAAAGCUCUGAGCUUGGGCUGGAAGGAUCUAAAAUAAAGAAUCUCUGUUGGAGAAAUAAAAAUCAGUAUAAAUGAAGUGUUUAGAGAAUAAUUCAUUCAACUAAGUCAACAAACAUCUAUUUGGUAAUAGAUAGUUGGCAGUUAGGCACUACUGAGGGACACAAAGAAGAGGGGGUUCACAGUUUAAAGGGGAAGGCACGGUGCUUCAGAGAGGAGGUGACUUUUCAGUUGAAUUUUGGAAGAGGAGGAGUAUGUCGGGUGGAAAAGAGGGAAAAGAGGAAACAGUAAGUGCAAGGACAAGGAGGCCUGAAGUUGUCCAGCAGGCUCAGGGAACACACAGUCCACGGUGGCUCCAGAAGAGUUAGAUUAAGACUGCACUCAAGAAGGACUGAAAAAACAGGAGCAGAUUUGGCUCAAGUGGUGGAGCACCUGCUUCCCCAUGGGAGGUCCUGAGUUCAGUUUUAGUGCCUCCUAAAAAAAAAACAAAAACAAACAACAAACAAAAGAAAUGAAAAAACCAACUCAGGAGCACCAAUGUGGUUCAGUGGUUGAGUGCCAGCUUCCCACAUACAGGCCCCUGGUUCAAUCCCUGGCUCCCUAGUACCUCAAAAAAAAAAAAAAAAAAAAAAAGGACUGAAAAAAGAAAAAAAAAACAAAAAAUAUAUAUAUAUACAUAAUUUUUUAAAAAAGAACUGAGAUAUCUGAAGUUUAUGGUCAACAGGAAACUAGCAAAGACUGAUUUCAUGGAAGGGCAUAACCAGACCCACAUUUUAGAAUAUUAAAGCCAACAGAAGUGUCACUGAGAAAAACUGAGACAAUCAAAAGAGAACUGCCACCAACUCCCGCCCCAGUAUCGCCCCACUCAUCAGCACCUGUGUACAGUGCUGCCUUGGGUCCUGGGAGCAUAGAUGAGCUGCACAUUCUCCUAUCUCCUGUGCUCUAGAUUCUUCCUACCCAAGGCCACAGCCCAGAAAAUUUCCCCCUUUCACCUCCAAGAACAAAUUUGCUCUUUCUACAGGAUCAUUUCCACCAGCCUACACAAUGCUGGUAUUUCUCCUAUCUUGCAAAACCCUUUCUUGACCCCACAACCCCUUCCAGCCACUAUCCCAUUUCUUUCCUCUUUAUAAAACUCUUUGGAAGAGUUGCCCUGUUCAAUGUCAUGAGUUCCUCUUGCCCUCUCCCUUAAAUCCACUCCACUCAGGACUUUUCUCUCUCCACAGCACCAAAAUGGUUCUGAUCAAAGUCCCUAAUGACAUGACUUACUGAAUCAAAUGGUCAGUUCACAGUCCUAUGUAACUUGACCUCUCUCUCCUCCUAGAAACACUUUCUUCACUUGGCUCCCAGGGCCUCACUCACCUUUACUUUUCUCCUUUCUCACUGACUGCUCCUUCUCAGUUUCCUUGGUUGAUUCUCCUUCUUGUCCCUGACCUCAUGUUGAUGGUCCCAAGCUUGGAUCUCUGUCCUCUUCUCCUAUUACACACACUCCCUUGGUGAACUCAUCCAUCUACAAACGGACAACCCUCAAUUUUAUUUUUCUAGCCCAGCUGUCUCUCUUGAACUCCAGGCUUAUUUAUCCAACCACUUUCUCUUCCUUUAGAUGUCUGUUAGUUAUCUCAACUUUAACAUGUCCAAAACUGAGCUCUCAAUCUUCCCCUGAAGCCUGUUCCACUGCAGUUCUCCCCAUCUCAGCUCAAGAAACUCUGUCCUUCCAGUCGCUCAGGUCAAAAUUUUGAAGUCAUCAGUGAUGUUUCUUUUUCUCUUAUACCCCAUAUCCAGUCUGUUAGCAAAUCUUAUUGGCUUCAAUUUCAAUAUAUAUCCAGAAUCUACAUAACUUUCUGCUUUCAUUGCUACACCUUUGUCCAAGUCAUCGUAUCAUUUUUCACUUGGAUUAUUACAGCAGCCAUCUGAGUAGUCUCCCCACUUCAGCCCUUGCUCUCCACGCCAUCCCUCAGUCUAUUUUCCAUCCAUUAGAGAAUGAUCCUUUUAAAAUGAAGUCAUGUCAUAUCUCUUAUCAUCCUCCAAUGGAUCCUCAUUUAUCUCAGUGGAAGUGCCGUAUAUAAUGUAGCUUUCCAGUACUUAUAUAGUAUGUUAUUAAGCCUGUCUCCCUUUGCAUGUACAUAAGCCUCAGAUCGGCAUAGGGUUUGCUCUGUUGUCAGCACUCAAUACAUGUUUGUUGAAUGAAUGAAUGUACAAGAAGGAUCAGAGUGGGGAGAGGCCACAGGAAGGGGGACCAGUUACAGGGCAUUGG
ensembl:lincRNA